AUUGAACGCUGGCGGCAUGCUUUACACAUGCAAGUCCAACGGUAACAGGCCUUCGGGUGCUGACGAGUGGCGAACGGGUGAGUAAUGCAUCGGAACGUGCCCAGAGGUGGGGGAUAACGCAGCGAAAGCUGUGCUAAUACCGCAUGUGAUCUGAGGAUGAAAGCGGGGGACCAGGCAGCAAUGUUUGGCCUCGCGCCUUUGGAGCGGCCGAUGUCAGAUUAGGUAGUUGGUGGGGUAAAGGCCUACCAAGCCGACGAUCUGUAGCUGGUCUGAGAGGACGACCAGCCACACUGGGACUGAGACACGGCCCAGACUCCUACGGGAGGCAGCAGUGGGGAAUUUUGGACAAUGGGCGCAAGCCUGAUCCAGCAAUGCCGCGUGCGGGAAGAAGGCCUUCGGGUUGUAAACCGCUUUUGUACGGAACGAAAAGGCUCUGGCUAAUACCUGGGGCUGAUGACGGUACCGUAAGAAUAAGCACCGGCUAACUACGUG
rnacentral:rRNA from 1 species